GAAGAGAGGCACUAAGCCCAGCCCACACUCAAGGGGAGGGUAAUUAGAGGCUGACUUUUGGAGGGAAGUGUUUGAAGAAUUGGUGGACAUAUUUUAAGUCCACCCAACCCGGGUCAUCAGACGCUAAGCCUAGUGCUCUUUCAUGAAUCGUAAUACCUCUCUACCAGGCUUCAUCUACCCCUUUACAGUGGAGGAACCCAAAGGCUUGUUACCAUGGGAGAAACAAGGUUCUUACAGAAAUAUAGUUGAUGCUGUUGUCACAGGACCAAGUAAUGAAGAUAAGAGCCAUGAUGACAGUGAUGUGCACAGGUGUCUGUGUGAACUUCUCCCCAUUGAAAGCUGAUGAUAAUUUUUCAAGGAACUAUUAAUUCUUACUUUUUUAUUUUUAAGGAUUUAUCUGUUUUGAAGUUCCUUCCAAUACAUCAUCUUAUUAAUCCUCUCCAAAAGCCUAUGAAGUGCAUGACACAGAUUUGGUUAUCCCCAUUACCUGGAUGAAGUAACUGAGGCAGACAUGAUUGAACGUCAUCCAAGAAGUCAAGGACAGAGUUGGAUUGGACCCAGGUCUUCCAUCUAUUCCUCGGCUCAUUCCACCUUGAUGUUUCCUGGUCUUCCUUUAAUGUAGAGGGGCCUAAUUAUUUGGGGCUCACUUUUAAGAAUCUGCAGACUUUUUCUGAGGAAAAAAACCCAUUUGUACACUCAAUUUUGUGAACAACUGAGGGGACUUAAUCAUCCCCUGAAAGUCAGUGGUGGACCCCCUAAGGGUCUGUUUAUCCCAACAUAAGAAUCCCGGCCAUUUACGCAGCAACAGGGUACAAUCCGCCUAGCGGAGGUUUAGACUUCAUAUGAGAACUGAAGAGCCAACUUUUUUGGUUCUAAGUGGAGAUUCCCUUGCCCAUCAGUUCCCUUCAGGUCUGAUAUUUGUCAACAAUUAGGGAAAAAAGGAAGCUGGUUGAAAAUACCAAAUACAAGGGAUUUAUCUUCUUUGUUACAUUAUCAGAAGGCAUGUGUGUUAACUUUUCUUUAAAAUCUAUGUGAUUAAAGGUCUUGGAAUCAGAUAUCCUAACACAUUUUCUC
rnacentral:lncRNA from 1 species